ensembl:lincRNA
UGUGUCCUGAGCACCAAGCAGAGUGCUUGACCAUGUUGAGAACUUUGGAACUGACGGGCAGACUGAUAACGAACUGAAGUGAGCCACAUGCAGGUCUGUCAUGUGAAGCUGCAAGUUCUUUGGGAGCAGGGGGCUGUAACCUUUAUAGUUGAUGCCUAAUCCACAGCAAAGCCUCUGGCACAGAACAAUUAAAAAACAACAAAAAGUAUAGUGAACACAGUGAGAACAUUUGUUGUGUGCCAGCAGCUACUGGAAGCACUUUACAUUUAUUAAAGUUUAUAAUAUUUAUAACAACCCUAUGAGGCAAGCUCUCUUAUGAUACCUGUUUUACAGACUAGUACACUGAGGCACAGAGAGGUUAAGCAAACUGCUUGAGGUUGCACAGCUAGAAAGUUGCAGAUCUGAUCUGUGGUCCCAGACAGUCUGCAGAUAAUAAAAGCUUAUCAUGAUUGUCAUAGUAAAUGAAAUGGUGGGUGUGUGGCCUUCUGCAUUUUGUUUGCUAGUAAUAUAAUUUCCUUCUUAUCCCCCAGUGCACCCUAUGACUAAAGAUUGACUGAAAUGAGAGCUGGAGUCCAGGCACCUCUCCCACAAUUUCAGCUGAAUUCCUGCGUGGUCAUAUGGUGAAGAGGAGAUGACAGUGUGUUUCUGUCAGAGUACUUGGAAAACCAUUACAUUGAAAAUGUUGCUAUCUUUUGUGUUUGAAGGUGGUUUGCUGCCUUUAGUCAACAGAAGACCAGAGAUCCCACCCAUGCAUGGUAUCUCAAGGGCUGGAGGAGAAAAAAAAGACAGCCAAGUGGGAGUGCCCUCAUUUGAGACUGUAUUUGAAUGAGCAGUCAGCUGGAACCUCCCAGACAUCAGCAGAUGUAAGCCUGAGCCUCUUCCUCUCCAGAUGCUCUGAUUACCCACGUCCUUCUUGCUCAGUUCCAGCUCUGCGGCUUCGUUUCUUGCCUGAGGGUUGUACCUCUUCUUUGAUCCCAGCUUCCCUGGCUUUGACCCAAAGUUUUUCCAAGAAAAUAGGACUUUACUUUCUCCCUUUCAUCCCUGUGAUAUUGUUCUGAUUAUAAGAUUGCGAUGGUUAAUAUUAAGUGUCAACUUGAUUGGAUUGAAGGAUGCAAAGUAUUGUUUCUGGAUGUACCUGGCUGUUUCUGACUGUGGCCAGAAGAGAUUAACAUUGAAAUCCGCUGACUGGGAGAUGAACACCCACGCACAAUGUGGGUGGACACCAUCCCAUCGGCUGCCUCCCGUGUAGCUAGAAAAAGCAGGCAGAAGAAGGUGGAAGAAGCCGAUUUGCUGAGUCUUCCGGCCUCCAUCUUUCUCCGGUGCUGGAUGCUUCCUGCACUGGAACAUCAGACUCCAAGUUCUUUGGCUUUUGAACUCUUGGACUUACACCAGGGGUUUGCCAGGGGCUCUUGGACCUUCGGCCACAGACUGAAGGCUGCACUGUCGGCUUAUCCACUUCUGAGGUUUGGGAACUCGGAUUGAUCCACCACUGGCUUCCUUGCUCCUCAGCUUGCAGACGGCCUAUUGUGGGACUUCACCUUGUGAUCAUGUGAGUCAAUUCUCUUUCAUAAACUCCCUUUCAUAUAUACAAAUCCUAUUAGUCUGUCCCUCUAGAGAACCCUGACUAACACAAGGGUCAUAUACAAUCAUUGGGACUUUUGGAGUACCCUGGAUAGAGGCCAUCCUGUGUCUCCCACCAGCUGAGCUCAGAAAAUAGAGAAAAACUGCAAGCUUUUGGAGAACCUUCAAACAUCAUGUUUAAAGAAAAUUUAAUUCGCUUCCUUUUGGCUGAGGUCUUGUUUUGAACCCAUACAUCAGCUGAAGUGGGUUGUCUUGAAAUUCAAGUGAAAAGACUUAAAUCUGAUUCUGUAUACAGCGAGAGUUACUUAUCUUUUUCCGUCUCUGAAGGGAUUUGAAGGGUGGGGCAGGAUGGGAUAGUUUAAGCCUUUUCCAAUCAUCUCUAAAUCUCCCGCUGCCCAUAUAUUCAUUGGGUAAUUGGUUGUGACAGUUUUGUCACAAUGCUCAGCAAAGUGUAUCCUUGUUCUGUUUCAAAUUGAACCACUUCCUUGAUUGAUUUCCACCAAAAAUAUCUACCCACAGAAGACCCACAUGAGUGGUUGUUUGGCCUAAUGGGGAUGAGGGUUACAUCAUAGCAAUGCACAAAUCCCUCCUAACUGCAUGCUAGCAACCAAAUUCCUUUUCUUCUGUGUUCCUUUAGCCAUCCUUUCAUGCUCCUUGGCUAUUUUCUCUUUUUUCUCAUUCCUAUUUCUUCUCCUCUUCUUUGUCUCCUCUUCCUCAGGAGGAAAAAGGCGAAGUUUUUCUCUCUUUGUGCAGAGUAAUCCAACUUAACUCUCAGCCUAUGUUGUCUCUCCCAAGUUCAAAUCCAGACCAUCUUUUGUAUGGACCCAUGUAUCCAAGACUGUUCUUAGUUGCAAGCAACAAAAAUGAAUUCUAGAUGAAUUAAGCAGAAUAAUUUAUCGAAGGAAAAUUAGAAUAGUUCAAGAAUUGACAGAGUUGCUGGAGAAUCAGGCACAGGAAAUGAACAGGCAAAAAUGGGAGUGUGGGUUCCAAGACCAGUGUGAAAUCGUGCAGAGACACAUGGUGGAGCCACUGCGAGGUUGCUACAUGUCCUAGCUGGCACCACCACCAACACUGUGGUCUGCUGUAGCCCUCCUCCCCCUGCAGACUGGUCUUGCCUCCAACCAAGCCCCAUAGAAAUAAGAAGAGCCUCAAGAUCCUGGAGACUUCAGUAAAAUGACAACUGUCCACCACAGCUCAGGCUUUGGUGAACAAAGCACUAUCUGUUUUGCAUUUCUCUUUACUCUUCCAUCUCUCUUUCUACUUCCCUAUAUAGAGACAUUUCCCACUGAUGACCUAAAUUGUGUCCUCUGAUUCCCCAGUCCUUGGCCUCAGUGCCUGCUCCUUAGAUACAGAAUUGGCUACGAUCAUUUUUUUUUUUUUUGCUACAAUCAUUCUUGUUUUUAAUCAUUUUGCUCCUUGUGACUAUACUUUUGCCCACAUCAAUCUCCAUGACAAUUCUAUAAAACAGAUAUGAUUAUUCCUCAUUUUACAGACGAAAAAUCUAAGUCAUGGAAAUGUUACGUGUCUCAGUCACGCCACACAGCUAGAAAAUAGUGGAAACAGAUUUCAAACUCAGGACUGUCUGAUUCCAAAAUUCAUGUUCUCAUUCUAAAGUUUUUUUAAUUUUUAUUUUUUUCAAAACUGUGGAUGCUAAAUUACUAUUGAUAUUUUGUAUUUACCUCUAUGGCUGUAAAUAAAUGGCUUAUGUUGUCAUUUCUUGAUCUGCUUUGAUUAUCGUUCUUUUACUUCCAAGUACUGAAUGUAGGUAUUAAUAUUUAACUCUCUUUACAUUCCCCUACUCUGCUAUCAUCACAUUUUCCCCAACCCACCAUUACAAUUCUGUCAUAAUUUGGCUUAGAACUACUAUCAAUAUUCAAUGGAUAUAUUACUAUGACUAGGUAAACUCUAUUGACAGCUGUGCCAUGGCAUACACUAUGAUGCUAUUGUAAAUAGUAUCUUCACUUGGAUUUCAUUUUCUGUUUGUUGUUGGUAAUUAAAAAUGUCAUUAUUUUCUUUUGUAUUGACCAUGUAACCAGCAGUCUUGCUAUAUUAGCUUAUUAAUUCCAACAGCUUAUCUGUAGCUUUUUUGGCCUCUACAUUCAUAAUCAUAUCUUUGUAUAAUUGCAGUUUUCCCCUUCCUUUCUAAUUUUCAUUCCUUUUUUCGUUGAAGUAAUCUUGAUUGAGGUAUAUAAUUCAUACACAAUUAAAUGAAUACAUUUAAAUGUACAAUCUAAUGACUCUGGACACGUGUGUACCCAGGUCUGUAUCACUACAAACAAAAUAAAGAACCUUUGCCUAGUGUCCCUGGCCAGGCAAUAGCACCCCACAUUCUCAACUCCAGGCAACUGCUGAUCUUAUUACAUAUUGUUUCUUUCCUAGAGCUUUUUUUUUUUUUUUUUUUUUCUUGAGGCAGAGUCUUGCUCUGUCGCCCAGGCUGGAGUGCAAUGGCACGAUCUCAGCUCACUGCAAUCUCCACCUCCUGGG